rnacentral:rRNA from 1 species
GUGGGGAAUCUUGCGCAAUGGGCGAAAGCCUGACGCAGCCAUGCCGCGUGAAUGAUGAAGGUCUUAGGAUUGUAAAAUUCUUUCACCGGGGACGAUAAUGACGGUACCCGGAGAAGAAGCUCCGGCUAACUUCGUGCCAGCAGCCGCGGUAAUACGAAGGGGGCUAGCGUUGCUCGGAAUUACUGGGCGUAAAGGGCGCGUAGGCGGACAGCUUAGUCAGAGGUGAAAGCCCAUGGCUCAACCUUGGAAUUGCCUUUGAUACUGGCUGUCUUGAGUUUGGGAGAGGAGAGUGGAACUCCGAGUGUAGAGGUGAAAUUCGUAGAUAUUCGGAAGAACACCAGUGGCGAAGGCGACUCACUGGCCCAAUACUGACGCUGAGGCGCGAAAGCGUGGGGAGCAAACAGGAUUAGAAACCCGGGUAGUCC